GGGGACAUUGGUGACAGGUGGUGCAUGGUUGUCGUCAGCUCGUGUCGUGAGAUGUUGGGUUAAGUCCCGCAACGAGCGCAACCCUUGUCUUUAGUUGCCAUCAUUAAGUUGGGCACUCUAGAGAGACUGCCAGGGAUAACCUGGAGGAAGGUGGGGAUGACGUCAAAUCAUCAUGCCCCUUAUGCUUAGGGCUACACACGUGCUACAAUGGGUAGUACAGAGGGUUGCCAAGCCGUAAGGUGGAGCUAAUCCCUUAAAGCUACUCUCAGUUCGGAUUGUAGGCUGAAACUCGCCUACAUGAAGCUGGAGUUACUAGUAAUCGCAGAUCAGAAUGCUGCGGUGAAUGCGUUCCCGGGUCUUGUAC
rnacentral:rRNA from 1 species